CUAGUAAUCGCGGAUCAGAAUGCCGCGGUGAAUACGUUCCCGGGUCUUGUACACACCGCCCGUCACACCAUGGGAGUCGGAAAUGCCCGAAGCCGGUGACUCAACCUUUAAGGAGAGAGCCGUCGAAGGCAGGUCUGAUAACUGGGGUGAAGUCGUAACAAGGUAAC
rnacentral:rRNA from 1 species